rnacentral:rRNA from 1 species
GACGAACGCUGGCGGCGUGCCUAAUACAUGCAAGUCGAGCGGACUUUCAAGAAGCUUGCUUUUUGAAAGUUAGCGGCGGACGGGUGAGUAACACGUGGGCAACCUGCCUGCAAGACGGGGAUAACUCCGGGAAACCGGGGCUAAUACCGGAUAAUAUCUUCCUUCGCAUGAAGGAAGGUUGAAAGGCGGCGCAAGCUGCCGCUUGCAGAUGGGCCCGCGGCGCAUUAGCUAGUUGGUGAGGUAACGGCUCACCAAGGCGACGAUGCGUAGCCGACCUGAGAGGGUGAUCGGCAACACUGGGACUGAGACACGGCCCAGACUCCUACGGGAGGCAGCAGUAGGGAAUCUUCCGCAAUGGACGAAAGUCUGACGGAGCAACGCCGCGUGAGCGAAGAAGGUCUUCGGAUCGUAAAGCUCUGUUGUCAGGGAAGAACAAGUACCGUUCGAACAGGGCGGUACCUUGACGGUACCUGACCAGAAAGCCACGGCUAACUACGUG